CCUACGGGAGGCAGCAGUAGGGAAUAUUGCUCAAUGGGGGAAACCCUGAAGCAGCAACGCCGCGUGGAGGAUGAAGGUUUUCGGAUUGUAAACUCCUUUUGUUAGAGAAGAUAAUGACGGUAUCUAACGAAUAAGCACCGGCUAACUCCGUGCCAGCAGCCGCGGUAAUACGGAGGGUGCAAGCGUUACUCGGAAUCACUGGGCGUAAAUAGCGCGUAGGCGGGUUGGCAAGUCAGAUGUGAAAUCCUAUGCCUUAACCAUAGAACUGCAUUUGAAACGGUUUUUCAAGAGUAUGGGAGAGGAAGGUGGAAUGUUUGGUGUAGGGGUAAAACCC
rnacentral:rRNA from 1 species